rnacentral:ncRNA from 2 species
UCCCCUAAGGAGCGCUGCAGCAGGUUGUCCUGUCAGGCUUGGGCGGUAAGGUUUCCUAUAAACGGCGCUCAUUGAUU